GUGCGGGACUCCCUCAUGCAGCCCGUGAGGAAGGUGCAGUCGGCCACACACUUCAAAAAGGUGAGUGCCUGCGGCCACUGCUGAGAAAAUCUCAUAGUAAGAGCGGGAUGUUCGUUUUUUUCCCCAGCUCCUGGUCCUGCUCCCCGGCUGCUCAGGUGACAGUCUCUGAGGCCUCCUGGAGAGCCGAGGGCCAGUGCCAUGGGGGCUGCACCCACUGUCCCCUCCCUGCAGCUCUUCUGGAGUGCAGCCAUCUCAGGGUGUGUGAAAGAGGACAGGGCCACUUUACUGUCUUAACCCUGCUGCAGCCUCCUCCGUCAGCACUGUGUGCUCUUGUGCGGGGUGGACACCAAAUCAGUGUUUGGAAAGUGUUGGAUAUAAAAUGACCAGGAAGACCUGUCUAUUCAUUCAGCAGAUUUCUGCUGAGUGUUUGCUGUGGGUUCUCUCGUGUGCCCGGCCUUGUCCUAAGUGCUGGGAAGAUAUGAGCGACCAACAGACAAAAACCUUACGCCUUCCGUUCUUGGUGGGGAGACAGUCAACACAGUCAGUGAGUUUCUCAGAGGAGGAUGGGGAUGGAGCAGGGUUAGGAGAGAGGUGUCUCGGGCGUGGAGGGAAGGGCAGAUGGCACUGGGGUGAUGCCUGAGACAGGAGGUGAAGGGGUGAGGGAAUGAGCCUUGUGGACAUUGGGAGAACGUUCUGCCAAGGCGGCGGACUUCAGUUGGAAAACCACUUUGUGUUCAUCUGUUUUCAUGCUGCUGAUAAAGACAUACCCGAGACUGGGAAGAAAAAGAGGUUGAAUUGGCCUCACAGUUCCACAUGGCUGGGGAGGCCUCAGAAUCAUGGUAGGAGACCAAAGGCACUUCUUACAUGCUGGUGGCAAGAGAAAAUGAAGAAGCAAAAGUGGAAACCCCUGAUAAACCCAUCACAUCUCGUGAGACUUCACCAUCACAAGAAUAGCACGGGAAACACCAGCCCCCGUGAUUCAGUUACCUCCCCCUGGGUCCCUCCCACAACAUGUGGGAAUUCUAGGAGAUACAGUUCAAGUUGAAAUGUGGGUGGGGGCACAGCCAAACCAUAUCACACUUUUAAUGUCACUGUAUUCCUGGUGAGACGUGACAGUGUUAAUGAGGAAGACAUCAAGGCAUUGGGGCUACAGAUUGCCAGAAUUGCAUGCAAAUCAUGAGUCGCUGGGACCACCCAGCCCGAGUUCUGAAGGAGCCCGUCCUCCUCAGAUGCUAGGGACCCAGAGAGCGUUCUCUUUGGGACUUCCUUAGAGACCGGAGGGGUCCAGCCCCUCUGACACUGAGGGGCAGCUGCCCCAGUCAGAUCCAUUUGGUUUCAGGUCUGUGGCCCCUCUCGCACCAACCCCAGCAUGAUGAUUGAUGACCUCCUGACUCCGUGCUCACCAGGGGACCCAGGAGCCAUGGAGAUGACUUGGAUGGAUGUCCCUGGGGACAAACUCUUAGAGCCUGUGGUUUGCAUGUCGGACAUGCUGCGGUCUCUGGCCACCACCCGGCCCACGGUGAAUGCAGAUGACCUCCUGAAAGUGAAGAAAUUCUCAGAGGACUUUGGGCAAGAGAGUUAAAAGCUGCUUCACUUGGGCAAUGGUGAAGGUGGGAGGUUGACUGGGGCAAAUCCAGGCACUCCCCAUGUCAACAGCCAGACAGGGCUCCAGGGCUUGUCCCAAAGUCAAUACAGAGUCCCCUCUGCUGUCUGGCUGCCUGCCAGGGAGCCAGAAGGAAGGGCCUUGCAGCCACAGAGACACUCCGCCGCCCCGGGGCACACAGUGGACACUGGCUCUUCCUACUUCCUCCUCUCCUGGAUGUUCAGCAGCAGCUUCUGCCCCCCCGCCCUUUUUUUUCCAUCUUUUGUUCCCCUAAAUUAAUGCUGCUUGGAUUUUCAUCUUGUUUAUAAAGAUAAAAUCACCUGGAAGUGUCAAGGUGUCGGGGGGGGAGGGUGGGGGAAGCAGCCGUGCUGCCAGGUCACCCAGACCUCCAGACAGCCGGCUAGCCCCACUGCCUGUUCCUUUUAUGCCCAAGUUUUGCUCCUUGAGAGCAGAUUGGCUGAUGCCCCUGCAACCCCAGCCCAAGCUCUGCCUCAAAGACCGAGUGACAUAAGCCAUUCCCACCCUUCUAGGUUCGCAUCCAGGGCUGUGUCUUCCUUGGGGGAGGAGAUGGUGUCGUUUAGAUCAGGGGAAGGCAGUCAGGCGGGUGUUCACCACUGCCUUUUCUUCCUCUGAGUGUGAGAACACUGAACCCAGCCACUGCCCCAGGUCCCUGUCCUGGAAAUGGUCUAAUAAAUCCUUUUCCCUUCUUGAGCUACUC
rnacentral:sRNA from 1 species